CAUGUACAGAUCUGCUGUAAGGGCUGGAAACUUGGCAUUUUCAUACAGAGCCAAAAGUUUGAUGUGCUCAAAGAAAACUUUAAGUUAGAAAUCUUACUCUGGUUUUUAUGAAUUUUCUAGCAGUUGAGGGAAUGUGUUCUUGUAAAUACACUUACUCCUAGUUUUCUUCCUGAAAACCAUAUGUAAAAUAUAUAUAUGGUCUUCAAAUGGAAGGUUUUUUUGUUUUUUUUAGCUGUGCCUCUGUGGGCUGAGUGACCGUGACCGCAAGGUGGCUCAUGGAGAACUGGUGGGUAUGCAACUGCUACUGGAAGAUGUUCUGAGUAGCUAUCAUGUGACCAUGGAGGCCCCCCAAAGACAGCAAGCCACACUGGGCAAAAAUACACAGCCAGAUUGGUCCAAAGUGCCAGGAUUCAGAAGUCAGUUCCAAAGCAGCCCAAAGACCUCCGAGCUGCUGGAGGGCCCGUGUGAUGUGGUGAUGUCCUUUGCUUUGCUGAGAUCAUUUCUGAUACUGUGGAAGC
rnacentral:sRNA from 1 species